AUGCCCCCUGAGGGCCUGCUGACCCAAGGGGUUCAAUAAAGGUAGCUGCAGGGUUCUUGUCGCGUGGGUCGGGCAGCAUAGGUGUUGGUCUGUGGGAGUUCGAAGAAGGGUACCGUCUUCAGGAUGGAGGCUCUACAGGAGGGGGCGCCCGGGGCGCUGAGCGAGGAGGCUGCCUUGGAGGAGGAGGUGGUGCAGGUGGCGGAUGACAUAAUGGCGGAGGUGAAGGUGGUGGCCCAGGAGGAGGCCGACGUGGAGUGGUAGGAGGAGGACCAGUAGGCACAGCCUGGCCCUGGGCCUAUGACUCCAGAAUCUACACUGGAGGAGCUGCUGGCUGUUCAGGUGGAGCUGGAGCCGGUUAAUGCCCGAGCUAAGAAGGCGUUUUCUCAGCAGAGGGAAAAGAUGGAGGAGAGGUGCAAGUCCCACCUGGGCCGGAGAGGCGACAUCAUUCAGAGCAUCCCUGGCUUCUGGGCCAAUUGCGAACCACCCCCAGAUGUCAUCACUGAUCACUGACUAAGAUGAAGACAGGCUGAGCUACAUGAUCAACUUGUGGAAGAAGUGAAGCAUCCUGUUCAUCUCUGCAAGAUCAUGUUGUUCUUUCUGACGCCCCCUACUUCCAGAAUAAAGUGAUUACCGAGGAAUAUCUCGUGAACGUCACAGAAUACAGGGCUUCUCAUUCCACUCCAAUUCAGUGGUAUGAGGAUUAUGAAGUGGAGGCCUGUGGCCACAGACACUACAACAGCGGCCUUAACUUAUUCAACUGGUUUUCUGACCACAACUUCACAGGAUCUAAUAGGAUUGCUGAGAUUCCCCUGAUAGAUCCUAUGUAAGGAACUGUGGUGCAAUCCCCUGCAAUACUACAUAAGGAUAA
rnacentral:lncRNA from 1 species